GACGAACGCUGGCGGCGUGCUUAACACAUGCAAGUCGAACGGUGAAAGGGAGCUUGCUCCCUGGAUCAGUGGCGAACGGGUGAGUAACACGUGGGCAACCUGCCCCAGACUUCGGGAUAACGCUUCGAAAGAGGUGCUAAUACCGGAUACGAACUCCUUGGGCAUCCUUGGAGUUGGAAAGUUUUUCGGUCUGGGAUGGGCCCGCGGCCUAUCAGCUUGUUGGUGAGGUAACGGCUCACCAAGGCGACGACGGGUAGCCGGCCUGAGAGGGCGACCGGCCACCCUGGGACUAAGACACGGCCCAGACUCCGACGUGAGGCAGCAGUGGGGAAUAUUGCUCAAUGGGCGAAAGCCUGACGCAGCAACGCCGCGUGAGGGAUGACGGCCUUCGGGUUGUAAACCUCUUUCAGCAGGGAAGAAGCGAAAGUGACGGUACCUGCAGAAGAAGCACCGGCUAACUACGUGCCAGCAGCCGCCGUAA
rnacentral:rRNA from 1 species